rnacentral:lncRNA from 1 species
CGGAGCCGGCGUGCGUGCGCGCCGCGUCUCCCGGGAAGCCCCGGCUGACAGAUGGUCCAUCUCCCGCGCUGACAGAUGAUCUCCCCGUUUCGCUUCCCGACUCCGGCCCCGUAAUUAUAUCCGAGCUCUUUUUGCAGGAGAAGCCGGAGAGGAAAAUCAGCGCUUUCCGCUCGCUUUCUCCCUCCGCCGCGGAGCCCGGGGGGGCUCCGGUGGCAUUUGACACGCGCCGCGCUCGACGAAAUACAGAGCAGAGCCCGGUCCCCCCCCCGCCGCCGCCUCCUCCCCGAGUCACGCCGCGUGCGAUGCUCAGAGCAGGUACCUCCUGGGGUCGGAUCCUGAGGCUUCCCUUCCCUCCGCGCGGAGCUGCCGGAAAGCGCCCGAACCGAGAGGGGCAGAGCCGGCGCGGGAAAAAGGCAUUUCCGAGCGGAGAGCGGCCGGCCGAAGACUUCCAGCCKCCGCGGCGAUCCCCGGCUUAAAGCAGCCGCUGCCUCAUUAGCUGCCUCUGAGCUUAAAUUCCUGAAUUGGGGACUCGCAUCUGGGCUCGUUCGGCGGACGCUUGUCCUCUCAUCCGAAGGUGCCGACGCGGGAGCCGAGCGGCGCCGCGCUUCGCCGUAACGCCGCGGGAUGGGGCCGCGCAGGUAGGCGCCGCGCUGCGAUCCGGAGGGAACGGGCUUGGUGCUGAGGCCGCUCCG